ensembl:snRNA U6 U6 spliceosomal RNA
AUGCUUGCUUCAGCAGCACAUAUACUAAAACUAGAAUGAUACAGAGAAGAUUAGCAUGGCCCCAUGCAAGGAUGACCUGCAAAUUCCUGAAGGAAACAACAUUCUU